AAACUUUCAACAACGGAUCUCUUGGCUCUGGCAUCGAUGAAGAACGCAGCGAAAUGCGAUAAGUAAUGUGCAUUGCAGAAUUCAGUGAAUCAUCGAAUCUUUGAACGCACAUUGCGCCCGCCAGCAUUCUGGCGGGCAUGCCUGUUCGAGCGUCAUUUC
rnacentral:rRNA from 1 species